GGUUCGGUGGUGUAGUGGUUAUCACGUCUGCUUUACACGCAGAAGGUCUCGGGUUCGAACCCCGAUCGAACCU
rfam:Amphimedon queenslandica AMPQTscaffold_13510_Cont663, whole genome shotgun sequence.